rnacentral:rRNA from 1 species
UGGGGAAUAUUGCACAAUGGGCGAAAGCCUGAUGCAGCGACGCCCGCGUGAGGGAUGACGGCCUUCGGGUUGUAAACCUCUUUCAGCAGGGAAGAAGCCACAAGUGACAGUACCUGCAGAAGAAGCGCCGGCUAACUACGUGCCAGCAGCCGCGGUAAUACGUAGGGCGCAAGCGUUGUCCGGAAUUAUUGGGCGUAAAGAGCUCGUAGGCGGUUUGUCGCGUCUGCUGUGAAAGCCCGGGGCUUAACCCCGGGUGUGCAGUGGGUACGGGCAGACUAGAGUGCAGUAGGGGAGACUGGAAUUCCUGGUGUAGCGGUGGAAUGCGCAGAUAUCAGGAGGAACACCGAUGGCGAAGGCAGGUCUCUGGGCUGUUACUGACGCUGAGGAGCGAAAGCAUGGGGAGCGAACAGGAUUAGAUACCCUGGUAGUCCAUGCCGUAAACGUUGGGCACUAGGUGUGGGGGACAUUCCACGUUUUCCGCGCCGUAGCUAACGCAUUAAGUGCCCCGCCUGGGGAGUACGGCCGCAAGGCUA